UUUGUUUUUUUUUAUUUGGUAAUUUCCUGUACGUAUCCAACUUCACUUGGCUUGUUCUCUUGUGUAUCCAUCAUAUCAAUCCAUUAAUUACAGUUGGAUAUGCAUAUAUGGUACGUCUAUAAAUAAGAGCAGCGUAGAGAGGGUUUAAUUGCACUAUCAACUCCCGAAAUGAAGUCCACUCUACUUAUAAUCUCCCUUCUCUUGGCGUCCACACUUUUCCUUCCUUCUUCCAUUUUAGCUAGAGAAUUAUCUGCCAAACCUGAUAUUAAUAAAGGACCCGUGACUGGAGGAACCGCCGAUCCAAACCACCCAGCAGUGAAAUGUGGUCCUGGUGUUCCCUAUACUAAAUGCCUGAACCCCCCAAAAUCAAAACCAAGUCCUCCAUCAUGUAAUCGGUACAUACGUAAUUGCCCACCGGCCUGAAGGUGUUUGGGAUAAGAAGCUGCAUGGUGGAUCGUCGACAGCAUGCAGUGCCGCUUAAUAAGAUGAAGUAGGUUUUGUACGUCUAAUAUAUCGUUUUUGGGGGUUUCUGUGGCUUUAUAUAGAAUUCUGAUUGCUUUUAUAUGCACUCAGCACUCAGAAUUAAACCUAUUGCUUUUUUUUUUUUUUGGCAAUAAUUAUUGAUGUAAUGCAUGUGUGCAAAAUAAAAGAGCUGAUCGACUCAUGAGUCAAUCCGUUGCUUUAUUUUACUAAGGGAAGUCCCAUACAAUUUUAUGUAUUAUCCUUUAUCUGCCUUAUCACAAA